rnacentral:rRNA from 1 species
UACAGAGGUCCCAAGCGUUGUUCGGAUUCACUGGGCGUAAAGGGUGCGUAGGUGGUGAGGUAAGUCGGAUGUGAAAGCCCGGAGCUCAACUCCGAAAUGGCAUUGGAAACUACCUUGCUCGAGGGUUGGAGGGGGGACUGGAAUACUUGGUGUAGCAGUGAAAUGCGUAGAUAUCAAGUGGAACACCAGUGGCGAAGGCGAGUCCCUGGACAACUCCUGACACUGAGGCACGAAAGCUAGGGGAGCAAACAGG